UCCCUGGUAGUAUAUCGGUUAGUACACGCGCCUGUCAUGAUGCGUAUGCAAGCAAGGCCGACGCGCGAAAGCUGGGUUCGACUCCCAGCCAGGGAG